GCCUUGCGAAGCUUAUUUGAUCAAGCAUUGGUUUUGUAAACCACAGAAGGCCUAAGCCCUAAGGCU
rnacentral:tRNA from 1 species